GGGGCUUGGCACCGUGAGGGGCCCCGCUGCCACCACCACCACCGCCGCCGCUGCGCUCCGGCUCCGAGGAGGGCUCCGGGAGGGGUCAGCCAGCCCCCGUGUGGGUCCCCGGUGACGGCGGCGGCGAAGCGGGGGGAACGCGUCCGCCCCAAACCUCUCCGCUGCACGGAGUCACGCUCGGCGGCGGCGGCGGAGGCGGUGGAAGUAGGUUACCUGGGGCGCUGCGGGGCCCGGCGGAGCGCUGCGGGGCGGUGCGGGGCGGUGCGGGGCCGAGCGGGGCCGAGCGGAGCCGAGCGGAGCCGGGCCGAGCCGAGCGGAGC
rnacentral:lncRNA from 1 species